ACAGGGGUGGGGAGAGCGGAGAUGAGAUCUACUUACCGACCUCUUCACAUCAAGGUCUUUAAGGCCUGAAGAUCCCCAAAGCACUGAAAUGCUUUUAAAGGUUGAGACAGAGAAAGCACAGUUUGUAUGUGGUGCUGCAGGGCUCCAGAGAGGAACCAGCUCCUGGCAGACCUGCUGUGGAUGGCUGUAGCUGCCAGGUAACAUGAGCGGACAGGAGCUGCCUGCCUCACUAUCCUCUCCCAUCUGAUGGCUGUUGAAGGCACCUUCCAGCUGGAUUCCUGUCACAGGGUAGCUGGGCUGUGGUCAGGCUGUGGUGUUAGUGAGUCAAUCCACACGCCAACCCGGCCCAGUCACUUCUUACAAGCUUCUUUUUGCUUCCUAAGUACAAGAGGAAAUCCAAGGAGGUGUUCCAGGGAAAAGGAGGUAACUACAAGCUCCCAGCAGCUCUGGGAGGGCUGGAGAGGAGGUAAGGACUGACUCCUGGGGACUGGGUUGGUUUAGACUGAGAUUGCAACCCAGUGCUAUUUCUACCAGAAAGAUGUUUCCAGCAAAGACAAGCCAUUAAAUUAGCUUCCUAAUCCUGGCUUUCCAGGGGUCAAAUCUUGACAACCAGGAGGAAUGUUUUCCUGCUGCUGAACACAACCUAACCGUGAGAACCAGCAGGGCUGGCAGGCCACCUACCUCUUGGGACAUCCGUCAGGAAGAGGAUGUUGUUGGUGGCGCACCCAAUGCUGGCGGCAAUCCUUCUGUAGCUCUCACUUUCUACCUUGGGGCCUAUUUUGGUAUCGAAGUGGCCAUCAAAGAGCUGAAAGAGAGAGAGAAGCACAGGCCACUGCUGAAUGCCACCUGAAGAGCAGGGCUGAACCUCACUCCUGAGCAAGCCCUCCCCUUUCCUUUCUACCACCGGAACCAGGGGCCGAUGCAGCCAUGCCAGCAGAGUCAACUGGAUGAGCUUAACUCCCGUGGGUCAAACCCACUCCCCCCACCUUCCUGUCCCAGACUUCAUUCACCAAGUGUUACAGCAAGGGGGCUUGUGGGAGGGGAGUGCUCUGCAGAGGGAGAAGCUGUAAGGAAGGUGGUAAGGUUAUCUACCUCUAAGAUAUCACCUUCUGUAGAAUAUCCAAACAGAAGCUUCUGGGCUUCAAUGCUGCCUGAAGAGUAGAUAUAGACCUUCAUCCCUGCUUCCCGCCACUUCCGGAUGGCUGGAACCACGUCCUCAAAGAUUCUGGAGCAAAACAGGAUGGCAGAGUGCUGGGAAAGGAAGAUACUGGUCUAGCAAUGGGCUGACAAGCCUCAAAAUGUGAGCUCCAUCUAACUCUGAGAAGUAGCCACCUGAAGACAAGCCCAGCCACAGGAGCAAAGCUGUAAGAGAAGGAAGGAGGACCAAAGCCAAGGCAACUGCUAAUGGACGUGUCUGUUGUUGCUUCUCAUUUAUACCACGAGAUCUCUCCAGUGCCCCACGCAUAUGUAAGUAAAAGUUCUUUUUGUGGACAUUUCGAAGAUGACCCAUGUACUGGGGGAUACUGAAGGCUAGAGGAUGCCCAGGAGGGACAAAGUGAGGCUGACAGUAAGUCCCUCAAUAAUACGUGGGAUGGUUGGUAAGGAAAGGCCACAAAGCCUCACAGAGGUAGGGAAAGGAUGUCAGUCUGAUGUGGUAGAAGGUUGGAGAGAGGAGCUGGAGGAGAUGUGAUCUCAAGGGAAUGAUCCCAGUCCAAACCGCAGCCUUCCCACCUGCACUGCACAGC